CCCUACAUAAACAAAUACAUGGGCGCAGACAUUUUGGACACCCAAAGUUGUGCGGAGGAGAAAAUGCUACCUGGCGCGUGAUUGGUCAAUAAGAGAAAAGACUUGAUAUGUAUUUGACAAGUGAAAUAAAGUUGAUAAAAAUGUAAUAUCAAGACUUGGGUUUCUUUGAGAUAUGUAGGAGUUACAGGUAAAAAUUUGAAAGGAGGGGUGCCCUUUGGUUAGAGAUUUUCAUUUGGUGUCAAACGCACCUUGUUGUAAACAAAUGGAAAUUGAAAGUAAAAGUGCCGCGUGACGGUAUAUUUUUUCUGUCAUUUUUUGUUUUCCAAUAUCUCGAACUUUCACGACAAAAAGGCCAUUUGCCCGAAAUUCAAUACAUGUAUGAGUGACAGGGGCUCAAGUUUGUAUGGAAGUCUAUGGGAAAACAUUUAGUGGUGUUUGUCCUAUAGAAUAGCGAUGCAUUCUCAAGAAAGAGGAGAUUAAUGAACCCUCCCCUCUUACAAUGAACUACACAUGGACACUCUCAGGAUGGUCCCUUUGCUCUCAUUAAGAGUUCCAAGAUGAGGGUCUGAUUGACUGGGGUGUGAAAUGUAACAGCCAAUGGUGUACUUAAGCUAAGACUGUCAGUCCCAAUAUUCAAGAGGAAAAACCCCUACAUAAACAAAUACAUGGGCGCAGACAUUUUGGACACCCAAAGUUGUGCGGAGGAGAAAAUGCUACCUGGCGCGUGAUUGGUCAAUAAGAGAAAAGACUUGAUAUGUAUUUGACAAGUGAAAUAAAGUUGAUAAAAAUGUAA